AAGCUGUAUGUGAGAGUUGGAGGAAAUUAAUCCUCAGCUGCUAUAAUUAAUUCUGCAACAUUGGGGUUUAAUUUCCUCCAAUAUCUCACCUCCAGCUA
rnacentral:pre_miRNA from 1 species